rnacentral:rRNA from 1 species
CCUACGGGGGGCAGCAGUGAGGAAUAUUGGUCAAUGGGCGCAAGCCUGAACCAGCCAUGCCGCGUGCAGGACGACUGCCCUAUGGGUUGUAAACUGCUUUUGUAUGGGAAGAAACGACGGCACGAGUGCUGUUUUGCCGGUACCAUACGAAUAAGGAUCGGCUAACUCCGUGCCAGCAGCCGCGGUAAUACGGAGGAUCCGAGCGUUAUCCGGAUUUAUUGGGUUUAAAGGGUGCGUAGGCGGGAUAUUAAGUCAGUGGUGAAAGUUUGACGCUCAACGUUAAAAUUGCCAUUGAUACUGGUUUUCUUGAGUACAGUUGAGGUAGGCGGAAUGUGGUGUGUAGCGGUGAAAUGCAUAGAUAUACCACAGAACACCGAUUGCGAAGGCAGCUUACUAAGUUGUAACUGACGCUGAAGCACGAAAGCGUGGGGAUCAAACAGGCUUAGAUACCCGAGUAGUC